CACCAAGUCUGCCUCACAAGCAGUACUA
rnacentral:rRNA from 1 species